AUGCACACUAAUUGAAUUACUUAUUUAUUUCACGAAUGGGCGUGAUGUUUCUACAAGGUGCCGGAACACCUAACAAUAAGUAAGUCGAGAGAAAUC
rnacentral:ncRNA from 2 species